CGUGCAGUGAAUAUCAACCUUACACGUGUCCCUUAAUCAACGGCUAAAAACAGGUAAUUUUAUUGAGUCCUCACCAAACAGGGAAGAAAUCUAGUUUUGACAGAGUGGAUACUAAGUGGAGAUCCUUUACAAUCAAAUUUCAAAAAAAGGCAAAUAGGGAUUGAGGACUCCCUCAUCUCUGCCUCCUUAAAUACCAUUUUUUUGGGUGUAAAUCAUAGCUUAGCAUUUUUAGAGAUAGAAAAAGAGUAGAGAAAAAAAAAAGGGUCUCAAGAAAGAAGAAAAAUGGAGGUCUUGAGACUCUGUUUAAUGGCUAUUUUUGGUUUGGUUUUGGCAUUGGCUAUUCCUUCAAUCAAUGCUCAAGUCCCUGAGCCUGCUCCUGCCCCUGCAAGUGAUGGAGUUGCAGUUGACCAAGGUAUAGCCUAUGUGCUAAUGCUGGUUGCUUUGGCCAUUACCUACAUUAUUCACUGAGCAAUGUGUACAGCCUCCAUUGCGGCUUUUCUUUCUUUUUAUUUUUUUUAUUUUUUUAAAUUUUCUUCUGUUUGGGAUUGAUAAUGGUAGGCAUGAAUUGAUCAUGUUUUAAAAUUUCAUACUCUUGUAUUCUUUUUUAGAGGUUGAAAUUCCCUAUUUCUUUCAUUCAGUGAUUAAAUCGUAGAAAUUCUUUAAA